AAAAUGACCCACUGCUGCUUUAACCUUGAAAAUGGCAGACAUGGAGAAAGGAGAAACACGCCUGUUGCCAGGAACAUUGCUGCCUCAGCCAGCAGAAUGUGGGACCCUUCUCCUCCCUCACUGGAGCUGACAUCCCGCUGAAACAACAGAGGAAACCGGAGGGAUCUUCCUGUCAGGACUGCCAUGGUUGCUGCGGCAGAAAUAUGAACUAGCUGACACACAUGAAGGAGAGGAUUGGAUUUGAGGAGAUACUGACGGGGGUGCACAGCUGCAACAGUCCCCUCCAUCUCCACACCAGGACUAAUCCCCCCCCCCUCUCUCUCUCUCUCCCUCCCUGUGUGUUUGACUCUCCCUCUGUCGCACUCUCUCUGCUUUCUGCCUCUCGGAGGGGUGGGGGGUGCCAUAUGGGAGCUCAGAAAAAUGGAAGUGGAGCGGAGAUAGACAAGAGAGGAAUCUGUCAUUCUCGGGCUCGGAUGUCGGGGAUCUAUGUGAGAGGCGAACUAAAAUCUGACCCCAGGCAGCGAAACCCCCAGAGCAAGACACUUCCAUGAAGGGAGCCGUGGCAAUUGUCUGUGUUCCUCCGCGCUCCAAGGGUGAUGAGGAGGAAGAGGAAGAAGAAAAGAGGUGGUGGUGGUGGUGGUGGUGGGGCUUGGUGGGGUUGAAGAAGCGGAGGGGGGGGCGUUUCCUGCCAGCGCAGAGCAGAGUCAAGCCCCCCCUCCCCUCGGCUCCUCAUUAGUAUGCGGCGGCUGUUGCUCAGGUGACACGGCUGCUGGAUUCGGUCCCGACUGCGGGAACAUCAGCAGCGUGGCGGAGAGCGGGAUAGCAGGUAAGGACAAUGAGAGAGAGAGGAGGAGAGAGGGAUGGACUUCUUUUAAGGACGUAACACCCACACACAUGCAUACACUCGUACACUUUACACUGCUGUAAUGCACACACACACACACACACACACACACACACACACACACAUAUUCUCAGGUUCAAGUCCAGCCUCCCUCCCAAUGCCAUAUCUACAGUGAAGGACAGUAAGUGUGUGUUUUCUUGAAUUCAGAUAAGUAACGCUAUCUGCUGAGUUAUGCUAGCUGAGAUGCCGUAGUAUUUGGGGUCGUGCAGUUUUCUCUGUUGAUAAAAUAUUUGACUUGCUGUACGUUUCCAAAAUGCAUUCAUUCACAAAUAAUAGUUUCCUGUAUUUUAUGUGACAGAAAAUGUAAUAAUAGUAGUCUUUACAAUAUCUAUUCCAUACUGUAAAUAGAGUGAUUUCAAUAAAUGUCAAUAAAUGUCGAAUGUGUUCUGUGCUUGGUUAUUUAGAAAUGUAAUGUUUUAUUCCAUGUAAGCAAACAAUGAAGGAAUCCUGCAGCUUCGCCUCAAAACAUUUUCAUUGUUUUCACUUGAGAGGUUUUCAUUCCCCUUGAUAUGUAGGAUAUUGGUUUUGUUGCCAAAGGCAACAAAGAGAGAGGUGUAUUAGACAAAUACUCAUACGCUCUGUAAGUGUGUAUCUUUGUGUGUUUGUGUGUGUGUGUGUGUGUGUGUCAGAGGAAAAGAGAAUACGAGGAGAGGGUAAGAAAGGGAGGAAAAAGAGUGUGUGUAGGUGUGCUUUUGUUUUGCUCUAUUUGUGUGUGUGAGAGAGAGAACUAGAGACAGACUGCGUGUGCGUGUGUGUGUGUGUGUGUGUGUGUGUGUGUGUGUGUGUGUGUGUGUGUGUUUGUGUGCGUUGGGGGAGCAGUGCGGCCAGGCUGCAGAUAUCAUCCAUCUCCCUGUCACCGGCCCAGGGGCUGCUGGGAAAGUGGCAGACAGCUCCCCGGCUCUGACAACAGAGGCUGCAUCCUAAUUUUCCGACACAGAAUGCUUGAAAAACCUGCACCGCUCCUCCCUCACCACCCAGUACGGAAAACCAUUAACCCCGCGAUCCGGGAACAAAGCACAGAGCUCAGCCCAGGCCACCGCUGGCUGCGCGUCCUAUCUGCUCCCAUCAUCCACCAGCAACACUUUGCAUGAACUCCGCUCUAUAAAACAUUCAUAGCACCUCGGAGACUGCCGCGUUAAAGCUCCACAUAUCGAGCAACACCAUCAAACGAGUUCAUUUUUUAAGUCACGUCUAACUAGGAGGUCAUGUUACUGACUGAUACUUGAUGACACUGCAGUGAUUUCAUUUGUGCAUUUUCAAAAUAAAAGUCCUCCUGGCAAUAGCUGUUCUAACUGGAUUACAUGCUUUCUGGUUAGCCAUGACUAAUUGCAUUAUAAAGCUGUUGUCAGACAUUCUAUAGCUUUUGUUAUAUGCACCAGCACUUUUGAUUUCCCAUCUCUCCAAGUGUUUCAAUUUCUCUGGUCUCUGGUCCAAGGAAUCAAAUAAGCACUGGCAUGAGGAUUACAUUAGUUCUCAUUAACGUGUCCUGUGUGUAGCUGUAGGUGAGUUUUUUCCUGCUAAAGUUAUUUGAGUUUGGUAGUUAAUCGUAAGUAAGGAAAUUAAAAAGCCUUCAGAAAACUUUAAGGCACAUGGUUUUCGCAAUCUAAUUAACACAAUGUCCACACAACAUACAAUAGUGAAGAAAUAGUGUAAAUAAACGAGUACAGAUAAAUAUUCCCAUCAGAGAGAAAACAGUAUAUCUGGAAAUAUAUUUACAAUACAUAAAUACACAAAAACUACUGAAAUAGAAUGAAUGAAUGAAUGUGUAUAAUUAUGAUGAGUAAAGCUUUUUUAGAUCAAUUUCAGCUCAAUUCACUCAUUGAUAGAACAUAUAUGAAUGAAUAUUACAUCCCACUGUCAAAAUCUCCGCUGAUAGUAACUCUGUCUCAUCCUAAUGAUGUUUCUGGCUGACUGUCACCUCUGCCUCCUCUUCCCGAACUGUGCAAUAUAAAUAUUUGUUCCUGGUAAAUGAUGUAAUUGUUGGAAAUUUCAUGAUUUUCCCCUCAGAAAACGCCUGUGGAAUAAAACUAAUUCUAAGAAAGAA